rnacentral:tRNA from 1 species
ACGGAUGUAGCUCAACUGGUAGAGCGGUGGCCUCCAAAGCCGCAAGGUGGAGGUUCGAGUCCUUCCAUCCGUGCCA